GCAAACACUCCAUUUUUGUAAUUAAUUUUUUAUCCACCCUAUUUUUAUAAUUAAUUAAUUUUUUAAUAUUAUUUCUAUAAAAAACCUCACAGGCACCGAUCCUCAAUUUUCUGAUACAAAUUUAAAGAGAAAGAGGGUUAUUGAAGAAAAUAAAGGAGUUGAUUAGAGAUGAUAAAACUCAAAUUGCUCUAUAGAUUUGGAAUUGAUAGAUUUUUUUUUGAAAAGUAGAUGUGGGACAAGGUGGGGUAGAUUUAUUUUUUUGGAACAAUGGAUUUAGAACAAUUAUGGUUAUAGGGCCUACUUUCUGCCCGAGCCUAAUUAAAAUAGCCCAAAUCAGAAGGCCCAGUUUCCCUAACCUAACCCUAGACCUAGCCUACAACCAUCAGCAAAACAGAAGCCAAGUUCAGCACCGCACGCCCCACGUCCGUGCACUUCUCCACCAUACCACGUCGAUAGCAUGUCGUUUGUCCUCACUUGUAAAAACAGUUGCGAGUUAGGCUAUAUAAAGCCAUUUUAUUUAAGCAAAAAGGUAAAUCAAGACCUAAAGGCACAUCAAGGGUAUUUUUUUCCUUUUAUUUAUUUAUUUGCUAUUUCAUUUUAUUUUCCUCUUUUUUCUGAAUUUAUUAUAUAUAUAAAUAUGUAUUUAUUAAAAAUAUAUUAAUUUAAAAAAAAACUUACUUUUUUUUUGGAAUUCCACGAUGACCGGUGAUGGUUUGCGGCAGCUGACGGUGUGGCAGUUCGAUGAUCGAAUUUUGAGGGAAGAAGGAGAGGUUGGGAGGUUUUUGAAGUUUUUUUGGGAAAGAAGGCUGCAAAUGAGGUUUUUUGGGCAAAAUUUGAGUUUUAUAACACAGCUAAAACGAAGCCGUUUUGAAAAUUGAGUUUAGAGGCCAAAACGACGUCGUUUUGGGCCUCUGACCCGCGACUCGGCCCACUCCCAGGGGAGGAUCCGCGUGUUUUGCUUGGAUGGGCUAAUUGUGCUCCAGCCCUUCCGCAUUUUUAUGGUUUUACAAUUAAGUUCUAUUUAUUUCUAAUUUGGCCAUAUAAAUUUCCUUCUGCUUUAAUUUGGCCCCGCGCAAGGUGAUGCGUUUUGGAGGGAGAGGAUAUUUACUUUCUCGGUCCCUCCAUUUCGUUCAAGCGUUGCAAUCCAGUCCUUCCCUUUUAAUUUAUUUCUGAUUAUGCCCCAGACUUUCGUUUAGAUUCAAUUCGGUCCUUUUUAGUUAUUUUGCUACUUUAUUAUUUAAUUGAUUAAUUGGACAUUUUUAUUGUUAUUUUAAUAUUAUUAUUAUUGUAUUUAUUAUUAUUGUUGUUACUAUUAUUUAUUAUUAUUACUAUUAUUAUUACAUAUCAUUAUUCUUCUUAUUAUGUUCUAUAUUAUUACCAGUAUU
rnacentral:lncRNA from 1 species